AAAAUAUUCCAUUGAUGAUGUGUCAUACAAUUUUUUUUUAAAUGGCUUUACCUUAAAUUAUGUAAAAUGUCCGUCCAGGAGUAAUGCUAACAUGACUUAGUGUACCAGCCUUUAUAAAAUAUAUUUUCAAUAUAAAAUUGUUUUUGUUUAUAUUAUCGGUUUUUAAGUUAGUAUAGAGAAGCAUAAAUAUGCUUAUGAUACGGAAUUCAGAUGAUUGCUUGGGAAAUUAAAAAGACAUACGCAGGCAUUUUUGUUUUUCUUUCUUAUUUAUGAUUAUGAAUAAUUCUUGCAUAUCAUAUCUUUAAAUUAUAAUUAUCUUUUGUUUUUUGUAUUAAUUCAUUUUAUCUUGCUUUUUUUUUUUUUUUUUUUUUUUUUUUGUUUGCGUGUACUUAAAAUUUGUUACUCACCCAUCCAUUACUUCCGCACCACCUGCCCAUCCUUAAUGUCACACAUCUAUUGUUACUUACUAAUGUAGUUCCUAACAUAUAGGACUCGAGCGAUGAUGAUGAUAAGGAGCAAGCUAACGCGCCGCCGACCAAGUACAGCUCUGACACCACUCUCCAAAACAAGGAAAUUUAAAAUGUUUAAACGGAAUCAUUUCAACAACUACACUAAUAACAAAAUCAGCACAGCCAUGGAAACGUUUAAAGAAAAACUCCACUCUCGUAGCUAAACGAAAUCAUCUAUAAGAUAACGGUGCAUAGAUAUUUACAACGCAAAAUUAAAUGUGUUAGAUUAGAACAAAAAAA